UACGUAGGGUGCGAGCGUUGUCCGGAAUUACUGGGCGUAAAGAGCUCGUAGGCGGCUUGUCGCGUCUGCCGUGAAAGUCCGGGGCUCAACUCCGGAUCUGCGGUGGGUACGGGCAGACUAGAGUGAUGUAGGGGAGACUGGAAUUCCUGGUGUAGCGGUGAAAUGCGCAGAUAUCAGGAGGAACACCGAUGGCGAAGGCAGGUCUCUGGGCAUUAACUGACUCUGAGGAGCGAAAGCAUGGGGAGCGAACAGG
rnacentral:rRNA from 1 species